AGACCCUUUUCCUUCUCUGAACGUUUCCUUACCAGUUCCCCACAAUUCCUGCUUUAACAAUUAACCCCAAUAAUCUUUUACUGUCAGUGGAAUUCAUUCAUUAAACCAUGACUUCCAUUGACAUUGAAAAUCUAAAUUCAUGCUAAACAAUGAUGCACUCGCUGUUCCAGCGUUGUACAACAGAAGUUCCUGUAAUUAUGCUAUGUCAUUUUCAAUUCUCU